UUAACGUCACCCCCUCGGGGAGAGGGACUCCAGGUGAGGCUCUGGGAGAACCUGGCUAUGCGCACUGGUUUACAGCCUGGGUCUCCUGGAGCCUAUGAAAUGAGAAGCAGUCAUUAGCACAGCAAGCAGCCCUCAUCCUUCCUUCUCGAUAAUAACACUGUCAGCAGAGGACGGAAAAUUACCCUGACGUCUCUAUAUCUCCAAAUUGCACUUCAGAGACAGACUGCGUAAGGCAAACAGACCCCGAGUGAAAACGUCCUGGCUAGACUUCCAAGCCAAGGCCUAAUAAAUCACCCUGAAAUAUACAAUCUGACGGCAGCUUUGCUCUGUGGCUGGUGACUUCUGCCCUGGGAAGGACCAUGAAUUGCAGGGCCUGACAGAUGGGGUCAGAAAGUGGAGUCUGCCCAGUGGGUUGAGGACCUGCAAAUUAACCCCGUGGUGCUGGUUUCAGAACAUGUGUGCCUGCUCAGGCAAACACUAACCUCUAAGAAAGAAGCAGGCCCAGAGGCGAGGCCCCCCUGGUCAUGAAAGAAUCAACCCCAGUCCACGGAGUCCAGAGAUGAGCCAUCCUGCCUGGAGGGGGGAGCCCUGUGCAUCGAAGAAGCCAAACGGGAUCUUCAGUGGUUGAAAAUGUUCAUUAGGAGAGGCUGCACGACAUUAAGUGAGCCCCAUUGAAAGGGCCCAGUGAACAGAGAGCCCCUGGACAUUGCCCAAGGGAAAGGAGAGAGCCCAGCAAAGCACACCCGGUAUCUGAGGCUUUUCAUGUAUCAUUGCGUGAAAGGAAGUCACGUGGGCCAAGGAGAGGAAGCAGGUGUCGUCAGAGCAGUUCCACGGUCCUCUAGGCACAGUAGCAGGCAUGCUCAUCUGUCCUUCUCUCCUUUUAGACAGUAAGCUACCCAAAGUCAGUCUCCAUGGGUUUUUUCCUUAUAUGCAAACUAUCACAUGACAGGUGUGCCAGAUAGCAAUAACUCAGAUGUGAAAGACCCUACAGUCCAAGAAUGUUGGUUCAGAGCUCCAAACUAAGGAAAUCAGGAGCAGCCAACCCAGAGGUUUACUCCUUAUCUGUAGAGCAUAGCUGAACGCCUGGCCCGUUUCUUGGAACAGGAUGUGCGAGGAACCGAGGCCCUUUGUUUGAGCUAGGUGGAGGUGGUCAGGUGGAGGUGGCCAGGCAGAGGUUGCUAAGUGAAGAUUGCUAUAUGAACUGCAUGCUUUUCACAAAAGGUAGCAGUUACCCCAUCCAGCCAGCCACUUGUGGACUCCCUGUAUGUUUAAGUUCCCCAAUAAAACUUACGUCUUGCU